rnacentral:rRNA from 1 species
AUUGAACGCUGGCGGCAGGCCUAACACAUGCAAGUCGAACGAGUGGCAGACGUGUGAGUAAUAUGUGGGACACUGCGUGAUGGAGGGGGAUAAAUACUGAAAACGGUAGCUUAUCCCGCAUACCCUCGGAUGUGCCCAGAUGGGAUUAGCUAGUAGGUGGGGUAACGGCUCACCUAGGCGACGAUCCCUAGCUGGUCUGAGAGGAUGACCAGCCACACUGGAACUGAGACACGGCCCAGACUCCUACGGGAGGCAGCAGUGGGGAAUAUUGCACAAUGGGCGCAAGCCUGAUGCAGCCAUGCCGCGUGUAUGAAGAAGGCCUUCGGGUUGUAAAGUACUUUAAGUUGGGAGGCGUUACCGACAGAAGAAGCACCGGCUAACUCCGUGCCAGCAGCCGCGGUAAUAC